UCUCAGAGAGCGUAACUUUUCAAAUGGCAUACCUCAGGCUUUCGUCUCAGUUCCCUUCCAUAAGGAUGGCUUCUUGAUAACCAGCCUUUCACCGAGACCAUUUCAGAUGAAGCUUCAAUGAACAGUGGCUCACACGGAACUCAGGGCUGCUGUUUGACCCAAAGGAAUGUCCAGAUCUGGAAGCCCAAGCAGAUGAGGAUCUGGGUCAGCACAGAGAACAGCAGAGGCCCUGAGAUCAGACCUGAUGGAGGACGACGGGACACCAGCUCUUUCCACGCUGGGUUCAGACUCACUGAUAAGGGGCAGAGGAAAAAGCUCCGAAGGCCUGUGGUGUCCUGCUAACAACCGGGUUGCUGUACAUACCAUGUCCUGCUCUGGUGUUACAGCAGGCUCCGGGGGCAACAGCUGCUUAGGCGGUCGAACGACAGUGGGCAUGAUACGAUUAUGGAGAGACGUUUCCUCCUCAGUAGCCUCUUCCAAGAUCUGGGCAGGGAAACCAUCUGACUGAAAACGUAAUCAUCUUACAAGAUUUUUGGAGAAAAGGAAAAACUGAAAAAGGAGACCGAUCAUUCUCCUGUAACUAUCUGCAUUACCUCGUUCAUGA